UGACAAGGACCAGAACGGCUUCAUCUCCGCCGCUGAGCUUCGCCAUGUCAUGACCAACCUUGGUGAGAAGCUGACCGAUGAGGAGGUUGACGAGAUGAUCCGUGAGGCUGAUGUCGACGGUGACGGCCAAAUCAACUACGAGGAGUUCGUCAAAGUCAUGAUGGCCAAGUGAGGAUAAUAUUUCUUGCGAACAACCUUUUCCUAAAAGUCAGAUACUUAGUCAGGCCUAGGCGCCUUCUGUUUCAGUCUUCUGUCUUCAGUGUUCAUUUGGUAUCAGAUCUUUUUUAUGUAGGGCGCUUCUCUUUCCUUCGCAACUUGUCUUCCUUUUAUUUCCGCAAACGUUGA
rnacentral:misc_RNA from 1 species